UAUAAUUAUAGAAUCUUUGUUGCCACUUGGAAUGUAGCAGGGAAGUCACCUCCAAGUUAUUUGAACCUUGAAGAUUGGCUUCACACCUCUCCACCCGCUGAUAUCUAUGUUCUUGGUUGGAGAUCUACA